rnacentral:tRNA from 1 species
GGGGGCGUAGCUCAAACGGUCGAGCACUCACUUAGCAUGCGAGAGGUACGUGGAUUGAUACCCCGCGCCUCCA